rnacentral:misc_RNA from 1 species
GGAAGGAUCAUUACCGAGAUUUUUUCUGGACUUGUUCUAGAAAUCUCCCACCCUAUGUGUUUUAACGAAUCAAUUACUUUGGUGAAGCGUCUGCGACGUGCUGAGAGGCAUGGAGUGGCCAUCGGCUUGGUAGCAAGCGGGUGUGUCUUUGCCAAAGGACCACAACUCUAUAAAUUUUAUAAUGUCUGAGUUUAUACAUAUAAAUAAACAAAACUUUCAACAACGGAUCUCUUGGUUCUGGCAUCGAUGAAGAACGCAGCGAAAUGCGAUAAGUAAUGUGAAUUGCAGAAUUCAGCGAAUCAUCGAAUUUUUGAACGCACAUUGCGCCUCGGAGUAUUCUCCGAGGCAUACCUGUUCGAGCGUCGUUUAGACCAUAAGGCAUUUGCCUUGCGUUGACUUUUCUGGAGUAGUAUCCAGGAGUCUAAACAUGUUGGCGUCGUAGUUUGACCAAGACACACACAAGUGAGACUGGCGCAGACGAUACGGCUUGCCUUGAACUAGCAGUCUCGUUUUGAGACGUAGGUUCGACCUCGAAUCAGGUAAGACUACCCGCUGAACUUAGGCAUAUCAAUAAGCGGAGGAAAAGAAACCAACAGGGAUUGCCCCAGUAACGGCGAGUGAAGCGGCAAAAGCUCAAAUUUGAAAUCUGGUCUAUGACCCGAGUUGUAAUUUGUAGAGGAAUGUUCGGCGACGCCUAGGUCUGAGUCUUCUGGAAGGAAGCGCCUUUGAGGGUGAGAGCCCCGUAGGACUGAUGGCUGAACCAUGUGUACAUCCUUCGACGAGUCGAGUUGUUUGGGAAUGCAGCUCAAAACGGGUGGUAAAUUCCAUCUAAAGCUAAAUAUUGGCCAGAGACCGAUAGCGCACAAGUAGAGUGAUCGAAAGAUGAAAAGCACUUUGGAAAGAGAGUGAAACAGUACGUGAAAUUGUUGAAAGGGAAGCGCUAGCGACCAGAUUUGCAGAUGACAUUCAGCGGUUCGCGUGGACCGUGUACUUUGUCUUUUUUCUUGCCAGCAUCAGUUUCCGGGGUUGGAUAAAAGCGUUGGGAACGUAGCUUUGCUUCGGCAGAGUGUUAUAGCCCUUUGCAGAAUACAGCCACUGGAGACUGAGGAACGCCUUUUUGUAGGAUGCUGGCGUAAUGGUUGCUAGCGGCCCGUCUUGAAACACGGACCAAGGAGUCUAACAUCCGUGCGAGUGUUUGGGUGUCAAACCCGCUCGCGAAAUGAAAGUGAACGUUGGUGAGAGUCUGUAAAAAGAUGCAUCAUCGACCGAUCCUGAUGUCCUCGGAAGGAUUUGAGUAAGAGCACGGCUGUUGGGACCCGAAAGAUGGUGAACUAUGCGUGAAUAGGGCGAAGCCAGAGGAAACUCUGGUGGAGGCUCGCAGCGGUUCUGACGUGCAAAUCGAUCGUCGAAUUUGCGUAUAGGGGCGAAAGACUUAUCGAACCAUCUAGUAGCUGGUUCCUGC